rnacentral:pre_miRNA from 1 species
UAUUAAAAAUUUCAUUCAUUUGUAAUGUUAAAAACUAGUUAGUGACAUAUGUAAUGUCAUGUGUAUUUUAUACCGAUGUACAUAAAUCAGUUUUUAACGAUAAAAAUUGAUGAAAUUUUUAAUA